AGUGAACGCUGGCGGUAGGCCUAACACAUGCAAGUCGAACGGCAGCACAGUAAGAGCUUGCUCUUACGGGUGGCGAGUGGCGGACGGGUGAGGAAUACAUCGGAAUCUACUUUUUCGUGGGGGAUAACGUAGGGAAACUUACGCUAAUACCGCAUACGACCUACGGGUGAAGGCAGGGGAUCUUCGGACCUUGCGCGAUUGAAUGAGCCGAUGUCGGAUUAGCUAGUUGGCGGGGUAAAGGCCCACCAAGGCGACGAUCCGUAGCUGGUCUGAGAGGAUGAUCAGCCACACUGGAACUGAGACACGGUCCAGACUCCUACGGGAGGCAGCAGUGGGGAAUAUUGGACAAUGGGCGCAAGCCUGAUCCAGCCAUACCGCGUAGGUGAAGAAGGCCUUCGGGUUGUAAAGCCCUUUUGUUGGGAAAGAAAAGCAGCAGGUUAAUACCCCGCUGUUCUGACGGUACCCAAAGAAUAAGCACCGGCUAACUUCGUG
rnacentral:rRNA from 1 species